CUGUGUGGGUCUGACUAUUUUACAAAUAUUUGGAACGUAAUAGGCUUUUUUUUUUCCCCAAGCAGAUGUUCGCUGACCACUUCCAAGAAUUUGUACUUAUCAUGAUUAAACUAACUCCGAGAACAUUUAUGAAUGGAAAACAGGCAUCGUUUCUGUAAAAAGAAACGUCCCAAGACUUUCAGGCUGCUGUAAAUUCAGCUGGCAAGUUGCAGAGUUGGAUUUGAGUGCAGACUGAUCUGAUGCCAAAUUCCUUGAUCUCAGCUAACACACGAUCCUGCCUCUUGUGGGAAAUAGACACUGCUACUGGAAAGGGGGAGCUCUGGGAUAACGGAAAUUCAUCUCUUCGAGGACAUCUUUGCAGAGCAGAGAAUGACUGACACCCAUGAGGGAGGUCAAGAUACAGUCUACUUUGUGAGUCAGUGGAAAUGUGGGGAUUACCUCCUUUGUGCAUACCGUUUUCUGAUUCUACUAGUCUAUCAUUGUAGGCUAACCUCAACUGUGACUCAGUACACUUCUACUAUAUUACAAAGUAUGAUUUCCCAAUGUUAUCCAGGGAUUUGUCACUGAGUCUGCAAAAAUAUAUUUCUUCCUGGUCCAUCGAUUGCUAGUUUUUUGUGGUCACAGUGGUGUUUGACAUGAAUUUCUUCUGCCAGAAAUGUUAAGGUCAGAAGACGUGUAUAAUUCGUGAUGCAGGUUUUUUUUAGGGCAACUCAUUCUUGUCACUUUCUCCCUGAUUUAGUGCUAUACAAGGAGACGCGAUUGGCAAAUUUCUUGUUUCCUAGGUUACAAUAAAAAUUCUACUUUAGGACUCUCUCGUGUUUUGAAUUAUGUUUUCCCUGUUAUUAUUAUUUACUCCCCGUGUGAGAUCGAUGGAAUAGUGCUAAUAAGUAACCAGCAGGAUCAUAAACACUGCGCCCCUGAUUAAUGGUAUAUAUGAGCUCUGGGAUGUACAGUCUAAAGCUUUAUUUUUCAUUUUUUCACAGAUGUUGUCUUUUGAGAAGAAGUAAGGAAUUUAAAUGCUGUAAUUUCUGAGUAUACGCACUGAUAAAAGAGAGAGACUUUUUUUCUUUUUCUGGGGAAGUUUUGAAUGUGGUACCAAAGCGCUGAGUAUUACAAGAGUUUCCAGGAGGCGUUUCCUGUCUCUAGUGUGCUGCUUAAUAUUGUUUAGGUUUUUAGUAUGUGAGCAAAACAUUUGGAGAUCUGAAUUGUUUUGGUUAUGCAGUUAACAAC